UACGAAGGGGCUAGCGUUGCUCGGAAUUACUGGGCGUAAAGGGAGCGUAGGCGGACAUUUAAGUCAGGGGUGAAAUCCCAGAGCUCAACUCUGGAACUGCCUUUGAUACUGGGUGUCUUGAGUAUGAUAGAGGUAUGUGGAACUCCGAGUGUAGAGGUGAAAUUCGUAGAUAUUCGGAAGAACACAGUGGCGAAGGCGACAUACUGGAUCAUUAACUGACGCUGAGGCUCGAAAGCGUGGGGAGCAAACAGG
rnacentral:rRNA from 1 species